GCCGCCCGGACAGUUGGUGCAGGAAGAACGCAGCAGUAUCAGCGCACUCCAUCCCGGGGAUCUGAAUGCAUUGGUGGAGAGAACAGGGAAAUAAGAGGUAAGAGAGAGAAAAAAACAAAGCAGGCAAAUAGCACAGCUGUCCCCAGGGGGCGGGGCUUAAGGCAGGGCCUGUGCCGGAGGGUGGCCCAGCACAGUCGGGGCCUCGGGGCCCAGUCUGGAGGGGGCCUGGCACAGCUGAGGCCUCCUCUGGGUCCAGACCAAAGGGGGCCCAGGCUGGAGGAGAACCAGGCUCAGUUGGGGCUGCUUUGGGGCCCAGGCUGGAGGAGGACCAGGCUCAGUUGGGGCUGCUUUGAGGCCCAGUCCGGAGGGGGGCCUGGCACAGUUGGGGCUGCUUUGGGGCCCAGGCUGGAGGAGGACCAGGCUCAGCUGGGGCUGCUUUGGGGCCUAGUCCGGAGGGAGGCCCGGUACAGCCAGAGCCUUGUGGCAGCAGUCCAACUCUCAAGUUCAACCUUUAACCAUAACCUAAAAUGGUAACCGUAGUGAAAGGUAGUGGCAGAUGGAGCUGCUUUACUGUGUUUUAAUUUUCCCAAGAAUGGUGAAGGACUCAAGCUAGUAAAGAAAGACCCCUUUCUGAAGAGCAGGACUCAGAAGGUAUUACCAGAGAGCAGAUCUCCCAGUAGAGAUUCUUCCCCUUAGACAGCCAGCCCUUAAAUGAGGUUAGGGAGGGCUGGGACCAGGCUCCACCCCUUUUCUGCACAGGUGAAACGCUUCCAGCUGUGCUCCGCAGCAGACCAUGUUUUAACAAAGGUGAAAGCCUGUGAAACAAAAGAAUCCCUUCUUACUUGUUUCACGUUUGUGUUUGUUGACCGCAGUUCCAACCAGGUGGACUCUCAAUGUCUUGCAAGCGACACCUAGAAGCAGGUACAGGCAGGAGGCACAGCACCCUGCAACCUCCAGGGGCCUUUGUGCAAAUGUUCAUGUCCUAGAAGCACGUGGCGGAGCACGUCCUGGGAUCAAGGUGCCAUGGACUGGAAAACGCAGCUCUGGACAUACAGGCUUGGCGGAGUUCCUGUGUGAAGACAAAACUCCCAGUACUCCAGAAACGUGGAGGCAGAAGAGCAGUGACAAGUUCCAGUCGAAGGUCUCUGUUCAGCCAGUCCAGGAGUGCGUGGGCAGACAAAGAAGCGUUGUGCAGGCAGGGAAAAAUGAGUGCUGUGGGUCCUGGGAGCAGCAAUGCGUGAGGCUCCUCCUGCUAGUGCUCUUCCGCUGGAACGUCCCUUUGGUUUUCUACUUGGGAGAAUAUUUGAACCCGUUGAAAAAGGUCUGACUUGAAGCGAGGGUGCAGAGCAGAUUUAACCUCUGCAGGCGUGUAUGCCAGAGCAUGAAGCAUCGUCAACAAGCACGGGGUAGCACCAGCUUGAAACAGGGGAAGCUUCCACAGAGCCCCCAAAUGGAGUCCCAGGGUGAUGAGAUGAAGCUGAUUUUGGCAGCAUUAAAGGUGGUUUUCCAGGAUCUGUGCCUUCUAGGGCUGGGGGCUGUCACUGGGGUUGCUUUCACAGGACACCCCCCAGCCCACCUCAGGACCCACGGGGAGUCUGUUGGUGACAAAUGUGUCACUGAGUGACAGCAUCAGGGUGGGAAUGCGUGGAACACAGUGCCCAGGGCAGAGCCAAGCGGCGCUGGGGGGGGGGGUCAGCCCCAAGGAGAAAGCCUCCCCCAUGGAAGAAAUGGAUUGCUUAAUGCCGUGGGUGGGAUGUUGGAGAACAGCAAAUUAAUGAGGUUAAAAGGUGCCGCCCGGGUACGUUGGGAACCUCCUCCCACCCUGCAAGUGCUGUCCAAAGCUCUCCAGUGCCCCCUGCUGCUCUUUGCAGUUCCCCACUAAGCUCCCGUUGUCUCCCAGUAUUGUCCAGAGUCUCCUUGUGCAAACUCAGUGCCCCCCAGUGCUGCCUGGAGCCACCCCAGUGCUGUAUGCGGCCCUCAGUAGCCUCCCAGUGCCCCCCAGUGGACUUCCCAGUGCCUCCAGUAGUGCUCAGUGCCCCCAGUUCAACACAUGCACUGCUCAGCACGUGACUGUCGCCUU